AGAGUUUGAUCCUGGCUCAGGAUGAACGCUGGCGGCGUGCUUAACACAUGCAAGUCGAACGAAGCGCUUAAAUGGAUUUCUUCGGAUUGAAGUUUUUGUGACUGAGUGGCGGACGGGUGAGUAACGCGUGGGUAACCUGCCUCAUACAGGGGGAUAACAGUUAGAAAUGACUGCUAAUACCGCAUAAGCGCACAGUGCUGCAUGGCACAGUGUGAAAAACUCCGGUGGUAUGAGAUGGACCCGCGUCUGAUUAGCUAGUUGGUGGGGUAACGGCCUACCAAGGCGACGAUCAGUAGCCGGCCUGAGAGGGUGAACGGCCACAUUGGGACUGAGACACGGCCCAAACUCCUACGGGAGGCAGCAGUGGGGAAUAUUGCACAAUGGGGGAAACCCUGAUGCAGCGACGCCGCGUGAGCGAAGAAGUAUUUCGGUAUGUAAAGCUCUAUCAGCAGGGAAGAAAAUGACGGUACCUGACUAAGAAGCACCGGCUAAAUACGUGCCAGCAGCCGCGGUAAUACGUAUGGUGCAAGCGUUAUCCGGAUUUACUGGGUGUAAAGGGAGCGUAGACGGUUGUGUAAGUCUGAUGUGAAAGCCCGGGGCUCAACCCCGGGACUGCAUUGGAAACUAUGUAACUAGAGUGUCGGAGAGGUAAGCGGAAUUCCUAGUGUAGCGGUGAAAUGCGUAGAUAUUAGGAGGAACACCAGUGGCGAAGGCGGCUUACUGGACGAUCACUGACGUUGAGGCUCGAAAGCGUGGGGAGCAAACAGGAUUAGAUACCCUGGUAGUCCACGCCGUAAACGAUGACUACUAGGUGUCGGGGAGCAAAGCUCUUCGGUGCCGCAGCAAACGCAAUAAGUAGUCCACCUGGGGAGUACGUUCGCAAGAAUGAAACUCAAAGGAAUUGACGGGGACCCGCACAAGCGGUGGAGCAUGUGGUUUAAUUCGACGCAACGCGAAGAACCUUACCAAGUCUUGACAUCCCUUGACGAUGCUGGAAACAGUAUUUCUCUUCGGAGCAAGGAGACAGGUGGUGCAUGGUUGUCGUCAGCUCGUGUCGUGAGAUGUUGGGUUAAGUCCCGCAACGAGCGCAACCCUUAUGGUCAGUUACUACGCAAGAGGACUCUGGCCAGACUGCCGUUGACAAAACGGAGGAAGGUGGGGAUGACGUCAAAUCAUCAUGCCCUUUAUGACUUGGGCUACACACGUACUACAAUGGCGUUAAACAAAGAGAAGCAAGACCGCGAGGUGGAGCAAAACUCAGAAACAACGUCCCAGUUCGGACUGCAGGCUGCAACUCGCCUGCACGAAGUCGGAAUUGCUAGUAAUCGUGGAUCAGCAUGCCACGGUGAAUACGUUCCCGGGUCUUGCACACACCGCCCGUCA
rnacentral:rRNA from 1 species